CCGAGCUCGACAGGCUCGGCAAGAACCAGGGCAGCGCAUCUAAAUUCCGGCAAGAACGGCGAUGCGGCGCUGUCACACCAUCACCCAUUGGAAGCAGCAGCAAUUCAUCACCCACGUCUGAAAAUUGGAGAGCAUGAAGAAGCGGGACAAGUGUACUGAAUUGACACAUAUAUGGGACAGAGCUGAAAAGAAACCAAGAUAACUGCAACCUCAAGGCCAACGCCAAUAUCUAUCGAGACUGAAAGCCAAAAUCAACAUGGAAAUGGUGACCGCCAUUGCAAGUCGCACCGUACGUUGAUGUUUUGGAGUUCUUCUCGUAUCCUGAUCUGACUCCACCGUCCUCAUCCGUGGUCUCAACACUCACAGCGCCACAACUUUUUCCGUUCAACCGCUCUCGUUCUCUCUCUCCCCGCUCAUUCCGUGUUCGCCAAACAAGACAACCGAGUAUCCACUCUACCUGCGGCACCCUGUGAUUGUGGAAGAAUUGAGCGAUGGAGCUGCGUUCAGCGCGCCGCCUCAGGUCGCAGCCAUCUCCCGGAGCUCGCCGUCGUUUCCGGCCUCGUCGC